rnacentral:rRNA from 1 species
GGCCGUCACAACGCGCUGCAACACGGAGACGUGGANCCAAUCGCUUGAAAGCCGGUCUCAGUUCGGAUUGGAGUCUGAAACCCGACUCCAUGAAGGUGGAAUCGCUAGUAAUCGCGCAUCAGCAUGGCGCGGUGAAUACGUUCCCGGGCCUUGUACACACCGCCCGUCACACCACCCGAGUAAGGG